GGGGUUAAGNGAAACCAGGACUUAGAGUACCCUCGGUAGGUCCAAGCCCUUAAACGGAACUGUCUACUAGACCUUUGGGGCCCCUUUCAGGGACCUUAGUGACGCACGCUAAACGGCAACUAAGUAGACGGACCUGGGGGAGUAGGCCGCAGGUUAAAAACUCAAAUGAAUUNAGGGGGCCCCGCNCAAAGCGGUGAGCAUGUGGUUUAAUUCGAUGCAACGCGAGAACCUUACCUGGCUUGACAUAUCUGAAAUCCUGCAGAGAUGCGGGAGUGCCUUCGGGAAUUAGAAUACAGGUGCUGCAUGG
rnacentral:rRNA from 1 species